AGACUGGAAACGUCCAAACUGCUUAUUGCUAGCGGGUCAUCUGGGAGCCGUGGAAUUGGGAUUCCCACUCUCGGAACUCUGCUUGCUUCCAGCCCCUGUGCCGACAGACGGCAGCCAGAGAAGCCCACGGAGGGCCCCGGGGAGCCCCAGCUGUGCCCAGCCUGCGCCCAAGCCUUAGGCCUGGCUGAAGUCACGGAGCCUCGGGAGGAAACCGCCUUUUUCCUGUGGGAACGUGGCCUCAAGGCAGGCCCCCCCCAAGCCCUCCGGCCCCCGAGGGCCGUCCCCGCACUGGCCUCUCGGGACACUGAGACGGUGUUUCCCUCCGCCCCCGGCACUGGGUCUCAAUCCCGAUUUCUGCAUUUUCACCUGCCGAUGGGACCUGCGCUUUUGCUUGGCUGCCCUACACUCGUGACCACGGCAGUGCCUCGUCUCGUGCCGGUCGGCCGGUCAGUCGCCCCAUGCCCUUCCUCGUAUUUUGGACUCUGUGCCCUCAGGACCCAGAGCUCUCUCCGCAGCAGGAGCCACUCAGGUCACCUGCAGGGAAAAGAGCCAGCUGGACAUUAGCUAGUCCCUGAAGUGCCUGUUUAACCUGCACUCUGGGUCCAAAACUCGAGGCCGGACUGUCCUGGGCCGGGCAUGGACCGCCAGAGGGUCCCAGCCUUCCUGAGGUUCUCCCGGCUCCGCCCCGGCAAGACGCGACGACAAGACGCGACGACACCUGCGCUGAAGGGGCCCCGGGGGUGUUUGUUCCUUUGUCCGUUCCCCACCCCCCUCCAGUUCACUGAGUCAACCCACCCCCGCUGCACGUCAGCUCCACCUCCCCUCCCCCCAACCCCCCUCCCCGCAACCUGCCUCUCCCACGUCCGCAUGUACGGGAAGGCUACUCGCAGCCCCCCAGGGCCCCUGUGGCCUGUGUCCCCCACUUCUCACCCCCUCACCCCUUUUUUCUUCUUACUUCCACGGCCCAUGACAUAGGGCAGGAACCAACCUCAUCUUUCCCGAGACGACCGACCGUUUGGAACUGGGGUCUUUGAAGACGGACUAAGGUAAACGCGUCCUCAGGGUGGGCCGUGCCCAGAACGACAGGGAGAGGGACGCCCACUCGAGGACCCGGAGCACCGUCGACGCACCCAGGAGAGGCCUGGGGGACCGCCUGCCCGCACCCGGCUUUCCAGGCCGCGGGGCUCAGCUUCCCUGUUCAUGCCACCUGCUCUGCGGCGUUUGUCAUGCUGCCCAGAGCGGCCAUUGCAGGGCGGGCGGGUGGACCCGGGGGGACACGGGCUUCUUGCUCGGGUGGAUUUCCAUCAGCUUUUUCCUCACGUCCCCCUCACCGUCGUCCAGGAGGGUGGCGCCCAGGGGGCAGCGCAGACGCGGGUCUGUGUCCACCUUCACCACACACAGAGGCGAGUCCAACCCUCGGGGCCCCGGGGCUUCAGCCGAGAAACGGAGACGACGGGGUCACCUUCGGGCAUCGAGACCCAAGGAGGACAGGGCCACCGCCGGGUGACCACACUCAGGUCCGCCCAGAUGGUCUUGGCACCGCCUGUUUGCUGCUGCUGAGCCAGAAACCAUGCAUCUGACACGCACCUCGGCCUCCAGGGUCCCUGCGACGAGAUUGUGGCCACCGCACGCAGCCUGGUCUGAACGGGGACAGCAAACCAUGCCCAGGCUCAGGGCAGACGCUGGCUCGGUGCUCCUGUCACGGGGAAGCGGGAGCCCGCUCUAGGUGUGCGGACUUGGUCAUGGGAGGACUGCGUCUCUUCCUGCCGCCCUGGAGGGCAGGCUCGGGGGCCGCCCGCCAGGCCACGAACUCAGGGCGCUCCCACUAACGCAACGGGAAGGCAGGAUCUUGCUGAGGCAGAGACACUGGGUCCAGAGGCCCCUCGGCGGCACCAGGCGGAUCGAAGGGAACACUGGGGGCCGCGAAGGAGGGACAGAGGUGGGGAAUGUGGGCUCCUCAGAGUGGGGGGGUUUCCCGACGGGGGUCCCUCAGACUCCACCAGCCAUCCCACUGCCUGGGGCCAUCUCUCAGGAGGGUCCCAGGCCCGGCAGUAGACAUGACCUCAGACUUGGUGCCAGUUGGACCACAGCUGUUUCUCCCGCCCGCUGUGCAAACAGCCGUCUUACCUGUACCCACACAGUGGCUCCCCGGGCCUCCCCUCAGCCUCGCCUGGGCCUCCCCUGGGCCUUUCCAGCUCCAGCCCCUGCCCCAGCCAAGCGGGGAGUUUCACUGAGUGACGUCCCUCCCAGGUGUUUCUCUAGCCCAUUUUUACGCCGCCAAGUGGGGGCUAUCACCUGCCUUUUCUCUGGGAAAACACCAGCCCCGGAGACACAGGAUUCAUCACAGAGCCCUGGCUCCCUUGGCAGCAAGUCUGGGUCACUGGCUCCCUUCCCGCCAGGGCGCUCUUGGCAGCUCGAGAGAGGCCAGCCUGACCCCGGGCUUGGCCCCGGAGGAGGAGCUGGAGGACGUUGCUGUGAGGCCUGCACCCCAGGACUUAUCGUGAGGGUCACCCACACCUCACAUCUGUGCCAACACCAUCCUGGCCGAGAGGACAGGCAGGACAGUGGCGGGGCUGGUGAGAUGCGUGCGGGCGAGGUCUGGGGAAAGUGAGCAAGGCGGGCAUGGGAACGUGGUGGAGCCCGAGGCUGUCCCUGAGGUUCAUGGUUUCAGGGCGCGAGGUGGCCGUGGCCGAGGGGACCGCGCUCGCAGCUCGUCUUUCUUCCCGUUUGCUCCCUGACACCUUGGCAGAGACCUGGCCGAUUAGACAGGUGUUAACAGGAAAUCAGCAACCGCGUUGUGGUGAAGGUCGAGGACUCUGUCCACACUCGGGGGCCGCUGAAAACAGACGUGGAUUCUCAACGGUUCUGGAGGCUGGACGUCCAGAUCCAGGCGGACCCGUGUCUGGGGGAGACGCUCCCUGCUCAGGCCGUAUCCGUGGGUUCGUGUCGCCGCUGUUAGAGCGCCGACUCCGUCGCAGGCCCUUCCUCCCCCCGACCUCCUCACCCCCCAACACCGUCACACUGGGGUGACGCUGUCCACACGACUGGGCCACAGCAGUGUCAGUCCACCGCCCCGGGUCUCCAGGGAUGGUCGGAGGGGCCCGGUUCCUCCCCCAGCUAAGAUGCCACCUGCACGCGGUGCAUAGACUGAACCAAACCAGAUCCCACGGAUUCCAAGUAAGACUUUAGCUGUACCAAGUGAAGGCUGAGAGUCACAGGCUAUGGAAAGAGAAUUUUUCAUCCAAAAAUGUGGGCUAAUAAUGUGGCCUGAAAGGCAAAGCCGUGCAAUUGGCACACCUGCCCCAUGUGGCUGAGCAUGCGCCCAGGCCAGGUGCCCUUCCCACGGCCGAGCUGAGGCUGCCGGCCCGCGUGCCCCCAGCCCUGCUUGUGAGUACAUGGGUGCUCUUGAGCAGGUUAUGGACGUUUUUCAGGCCUCAGGUUUGUCUUAAAAAAAAAAAAAGGAAACAGCGGGAAAUAUCACAGCGCGUGUGUAGGCUUUUGUGAAGCUUCGUGGAAAAGGCGCUAAGGAGCCUGGCACUCGCGCCACCAAGCUCCCGGGACGCGUCCACAGCUGGGAGCCCUGUGCCCUCUGACCCAACUUCCCAGGGCAGCUCUGCUGAGGGUCCUGUUCUACCUUCAGAAACCUGUCCUCUCCCUUCAGGUCUCCCAGGGGAACAGGGCUGCGUCUGAGGCAUAAACAGUCUAGAGCCAGGAUGGUCCCCUCUGCCAGCUUGCGUUUGCAGGUGGAGAGUUACAGGGACACAGCACUGCCAAUGGCUUUACCACUGCCCCUCCUGCCCCCUCCCUGCCCCUCCUGCCUCCUCCCUGCCCCCUCCUGCCUCCUCCCUGCCCCUUCCUGCCCCCUCCCUGACCCCUCUUGCCCCCUCCUGCCUCCUCCCUGCCUCCUCCCUGCUUCCACCCUCUUCCUUGCUCUCAAGCAGAGGGGGUCAUGUGACAGCCAAGCCCAGGGAGCUGGUGGCCCUGGUCCAGGCAGCACCUCUCACACCGGAUGUGCACAUGACUCAGCUCUCCAUGACCCUGAGGUGCAGGUUUUGGCUUCUCGGCCUGGGUUGGUCCUGAGCCCCUGAUGGCGGGCUUCCUGGCCGAGGACUCCAGCGUCUGCCAGCAGGAGAGAACUUCCCGUCCCCUGGGUUCCAUGGAGUCUGUGGCUGCCUCCUCUGGGCAGGAGAGCAGGAUCUGGGCUGGUGAACCAGAGCAAAAGGGAGUCACGCCGGUGCCGAGCGCCCCCCCUCUCCGUGCUUCCCGAAAGCCACGCUGGGCUGAGCUCAUAAGUCCAUCCCUCGAAGCCUCUUCCUGGAACCACAGCUUCCCCCUGGCGAUUCCGCUCCCUCCUGCAAAAACUCCCCUGGUCCCGCUGUGGGCACCCCGACUUACACACUUACUUCCAGGUGCUGUUCAAGCUGACGUCCCUGACGCACGGGCCGUCACCCCGCACACCACCUAGACACAAGGCUUUGGGGGGCCGGCCCCACCCCUUCUGGGCCCACUAGCUGGCAGCUUUCUGAUGAAGCCUUCUGCCUGGGGGGCGAGGUGGGCAGGGCUGCAGACAUUUAACGGAAGCUCUCAAACUUGGCGCGCAGAGAAGGGCAACCGGCAGCCACCGAGGGCUGUGCUCUGUGCACUCAGAGGGCACCUCCUGGCGAUGGGCAUUGGAGGGAAGGCCAGGCGCCCCAGACCGUGCCCGAGAAGGUCGUAGUGAAGGCGCGUCCCCAGUCCCACCUCGAGAAACAUCAGACAGACCGGAACAGAGGGACACUGGUCCAAACACAUCACUGCCACCCUUUAAAGCUGCUCGAUGUGAGCCGUGAUUUGAGACAGGGGGCGGGUGACACGUCUUCGCCAUCUCUUGUUGCUAAUGUGCCAAAGCUUUCCGAUCUCCUAAUUUUUCAGGGAAAAAUGAAAUUUUUCAGCAAAUGAGACAUUGUGAAAAGUCUGAUUAAUCUUAACCAAAUAUCUCAAGUCAAACAUUCCAUUCCAAAAACAUGACCCCGAGUUUGGCACCUUCGUGGUUGCAUGAAACAGCUGGUUCUCCUCAAUAGCCACCAAGGACCUGCUUCCUGCCACUUUGUCACUGUUAGGAAGUGACAGAUGAGCCCACCCUGUCCCUGUGUGAACUGAGCAAGCCUCUCCAGGGGAGGGAUGGCCCAUAGGGUGCUCCCCACGCUGGCGACCGAGGGGUGACCCUCAGGCCACAGCACAUCCGGCCUCCAAGAGCUGGCGCCACCGGGAGCUGAACGGGGGGCGCGGGCACGUCCAGAGCAAGGAGGAGUUCAGCUCAAAACGCGGAGGCGUUGCCUUCACUUCAGAUGUUGCGCUGUUCGUCUCAGUCUGUCUGCUUGCUCUUUAAACCCUCGGCUCUUUGUUAAACGUUUCUUGCACCUUCUCCGUCCGUGUCUCCGCUCUUUUCCCGGCAUCGUGGACCACCUUCGCUGUGGUCACUCCGAGUGCUCUUCCAGGUGGAUCGCCCGUCUCCUCCUCCUCCACCGCCUGCGUGUUCGUCUUGUUCCUUCGUCUGAAAGCUGUGGUGCGCUUUCCAUGCUCAUCGUCCCCUUGACGGGCCGGUCGACGCCAACGAUGACAUUGAGGUGGACAAGCCAUGCGGUCCUGCUGCUCAGCACAGGGAGCUCUUUGCAGUUCCCGUGACGGCACGUGACGGGAGACAGCAUGGGAAAAAGGACGCCUGCGACUGGGUCACUUCGCUGGACAGCAGCAACGGACACAGCACUGUAAACGGAGCCCAGACGCAGGAAUCUGCCACAGCAAAUGCCUUUGGCAGAGCAGCAUGUGAAACUCCUCGGAUGUGGGGACGUGUUAGCAGCUAGGACCCUUAUUAGACCCAUUUGUUUAAACUUGAACCUCUGCCCGAUAGACCGAGAUCGCUGAGGGCAGGCCCAGGUCUCUGUCCAGGAGCCGCUGAGCCCCUGGAGUGACACACGAUCGGUGUUGGUCACACAUGGGGGACGGGGUCC
rnacentral:lncRNA from 1 species